rnacentral:rRNA from 1 species
GUCCUUAGUACGAGAGGACCGGGAUGGACAUACCUCUGGUGUACCAGUUGUCGUGCCAACGGCAUAGCUGGGUAGCUAUGUAUGGACGGGAUAAGUGCUGAAAGCAUCUAAGCAUGAAGCCCCCCUCGAGAUGAGAUUUCCCAACUUCGGUUAUAAGAUCCCUCAAAGAUGAUGAGGUGAAUAGGUUCGAGGUGGAAGCGUAGCGAUACGUGGAGCUGACGAAUACUAAUCGAUCGAAGACUUAAUCAACAU